UACGGAGGGGGCUAGCGUUGUUCGGAAUUACUGGGCGUAAAGCGCACGUAGGCGGCUUUGUAAGUUAGAGGUGAAAGCCCAGGGCUUAACCCUGGAAUUGCCUUUAAGACUGCAUCGCUAGAAUCGUGGAGAGGUGAGUGGAAUUCCGAGUGUAGAGGUGAAAUUCGUAGAGAUCCGGAAGAACACCGGUGGCGAAGGCGGCCCGCUGGGCUGUUGCUGACGCUGAGGCGCGACAGCGUGGGGAGCAAACAGG
rnacentral:rRNA from 1 species